rnacentral:rRNA from 1 species
CAGCCAUCAUUUAAAGAAAGCGUAAUAGCUCACUGGUCGAGUCGGCCUGCGCGGAAGAUGUAACGGGGCUAAACCAUGCACCGAAGCUGCGGCAGCGACGCUUAUGCGUUGUUGGGUAGGGGAGCGUUCUGUAAGCCUGCGAAGGUGGCCUGUGAGGGCUGCUGGAGGUAUCAGAAGUGCGAAUGCUGACAUAAGUAACGAUAAAGCGGGUGAAAAGCCCGCUCGCCGGAAGACCAA